AUUAUGGCUCAGAUUGAACACUGGCGGGAUGCUUUACACAUGCCGGUCGAACGGCAGCACGGACUUCGGUCUGGUGGCGAGUGGCGAACAGGUGAGUAAUGUCGGAACGUGCCUAGUAGCGGGGGAUAACUACGCGAAAGCGUAGCCUAAUACCGCAUACGCCCUUCGGGGAAAGCAGGGGGACCUUCGGGCCUCGCACUAUUAGAGCAGCGAUAUCGGAUUAGCUAGUUGGUGGGGUAACGGCUCACCAAGGCGACGAUCCGUAGCUGGUUUUGAGAGGACGACCAACCACGCAGGACUGAGACACGGCCCAGACUCUACGGGGAGGCAGCAGUGGGGAAUUUUGGACAGUGGGAAACCUAAUCCAGCCAUCCCGCGUGUGCGAUGAAGGCCUUCAGGUUGUAAAGCACUUUUGGCAGAAGAAGCAGCGCUGAGAUCGUACCGUGCAACUGACGUACCUGCAGAAUAAGCACCGGCUAACUACGUGCCAGCAGCCACUUUGAUGACCGUAAGUGCAAGCGUGUCGGAAUUACCUGGGCAUAAAGCGUGCGCAGGCGGUUCGGAAAGAAAGAUCUUAAAUCCCAGAGCUUAACUUUGGAACUGCAUUUUUAACUACCGAGAGCUAAGUGUGUCAGAGGAGGUGGAAUUCCGCGUGUAGCAGUGAAAUGCGUAGAUAUGCGGAGGAACACCGAUGGCGAAAACAACCUCUGGGAUAACACUGACGCUCAUGCACGAAAGCGUGGGAGCAAACAGGAUUGUUAACACACAGUGAUCUACACGCACUUCCUAAACGAUGUCAAAACUGGCUGUGGACCUUCGGGCCUUGGUAGCGCAGCUAACACAACGUGAGAGUUGGCCGCCUGGGAGAUACGGUCGCGAAAUUAAACUCAAAAGGAAUUGACGGGGACCCGCACAAGCGGGGUGGAUGAUGUGGAUUAAUUCGAUGCAACGCGAAAAGCACUUACCUACCCUUGACGCAUGUCUGGAAUCCCAGAAGAGAUUUGGGAGUGCUCGCAAGAAGAACGGAACCUGGUGCUGCAUGGCUGUCGUCAGCUCGUGUCGUGAGAUGUUGGAGUUAAGUCCCGCAACGAGCGCAACCCUUGUCAUUAGUUACGAAAGGGCACUCUAAUGAGACUCACUGGUGUAAACCGGAGGAAGGUGGGGAUGACGUCAAGUCCUCAUAACCCUUAUGGGUAGGGCUUCACACGUCAUACAAUGGUCGGGACAGAGGGUCGCCAACCCGCGAGGGAGUCAAUCCCAGAAACCCGAUCGUAGUCCGGAUCUGAUCUGCAACUCGACUGCGUGAAGUCGGAAUCGCUAGUAAUCGCGGAUCAGCAUGUCGCGGUGAAUACGGGUCUUGUACCACCGCCGUCACCAUGGGAUUGGGUUUUACCAGAAGUAGUUAGCCUAACCGUAAGGAGGGCAGUUACCACGGUAAGUUCGCUGACUGGGGGUCGUCGUAUUUCUGAGUAA
rnacentral:rRNA from 1 species